rnacentral:ncRNA from 2 species
GAUCGUCGACGAAGAGAGCGCCGGGUAACAGUCCGGCCGCCGAAGGGGCAAGCGCGCCGCGUGAUCCGCGUCACCACGCGCGAAACUCUCAGGCCGAUAGGAUUCGUCCGCGAGU